GACGAACGCUGGCGGCGUGCUUAACACAUGCAAGUCGAACGGAAAGGCCCCUUUGUGGGUACUCGAGUGGCGAACGGGCGAGUAACACGUGAGUAACCUGCCCUUGACUUCGGGAUAACUUCAGUAAACUGGGGCGAAUACCGGAUAGGAAUCCUUGCUGCAUGGUGGGUGUUGGAAAGCUUCGGCGGGUUUGGAUGGACUCGCGGCCUAUCAGCUUGUUGGUGGGGUAGUGGCUUACCAAGGCUUUGACGGGUAGCCGGCCUGAGAGGGCGACCGGCCACAUUGGGACUGAGGUACGGCCCAGACUCCUACGGGAGGCAGCCGUGGGGAAUAUUGCACAAUGGGCGGAAGCCUGAUGCAGCAACGCCGCGUGCGGGAUGACGGCCUUCGGGUUGUAAACCGCUUUCAGCAGGGGCGAAGCUUGUGGUGACGGUACCUGCAGAAGAAGCACCGGCUAACUACGUG
rnacentral:rRNA from 1 species